rnacentral:lncRNA from 1 species
AAAACCUUAUUAAGUGCUUAAUGGCUUAAGAACUUAAGCCCAAACUUCAGAUCCAGAGAUCUAACAUGCCUAGGAUUCAUAACGUCAUCGAAUUUAUCACUUUGGAUGUCCAUAAAGUUCUUAAUGAUUCGUCUUAAUGUUGGGUUUUGAGCAAUCUAACACUUCCUAAGUGUGCAUGCAACCCUAAUAAACCUUGGAUCUAUGUUUGUCUAAAUACAUGCAAAAUAAUAAUUUUCCAAGGUUCAUAACCUAUCUAACAUGGCAUGGGGUACUUUUAAACAUAAAAGAAUUAGAUGUGAUUACAUACCUUUUGAUGAUGAGUUUGAUUCCUAAGGAGUUUGAGGGCCAAGCACCAAUAGUGUGAAUGCCUCAAAUGGAAUCACAAAUCACCACAAACUCUUGGAAAACUUUGAGAGAGCGUAUACACACUUAAAAAAUCGGCCAGACGCAAACACACAUACUCUAGUGACACUAGUGGCUAUUUCAUGCAACAUAAGCAUGCUUAUAUAGUGUACAUGAUUAGGGUGAAACCCUAAUAACCCAUGACCUUUCCUUUUCCAAGGAUCUAUGGGUUAAAAGCUCCAUGGAUCAUCCAUGGACUUCCACAUAAGCCUAGCCCAUUAACAAAUGAGUGUUAGCCCAGACUAUAUAAAACCAAUAGCCCACAAUCUAAUUAGUCUUCCUUUUAAUCUCUAAAUUAAUUCAUAAUUAAUUUAAGACUAAGACUAAUUAAAUAACAUGACUUCAUAUUAAUAUAUUAUAACUUAUAAUAUAUUAAUAAACAUAUGUGUAUAACUCUCAUAAAAUUAUCCAUAAAUAGUUUGGAUGAAAUGCAACCCAAAUGGACCAUGCCGGGUCGGGUCAAGUAUAUACCAAAUAAGUUAUGGACUUAGACACCUUAUCCAACAGACUCCCACUUGGAUAAGUCUAAUAACUAUAUUUGCGUAUGUUACUUCAGGAACCAACCAGCAAUCGUAGCUCUCGAAAACUCUGUUGAACUAUGAAGCGCCAUUUUAGAUAAGUGAUCAUAUAAUCCUCUGUUCUCAUGAUAUCAGCCGGACAAAUACAUGGAACAACGUCGUACUUAUUGUCCAGCAGUUUGUUUCCCGAUUUUCGAUUUGUUUGACAAAGAACUUAAUCGAACACAUCAAUUUAGUUCUGACCGGCCGGUACAUAGGUCACAACAAAAUCAUCGAGGGGCCCAGAUAUCGCUUCUAUUUCUAGAAGGAACAGAUAAACUUCGACUCAUAUGCUUGUUCUACUACUUGUUGAAUUGUACACAAAGGCACGUUUUAUAACAUCAAGUUACUGAUGCGUUUACGUGCAAUCAAUGCACAACCAACUCAUAGGUAACAACUCAUAUCUCUAGGUUUGAAGAUUUAUAUGAUAUUACCGUCUCACGAUCACUCGAGAUAAAUUCCAUGAAGUGAUACAAGUGAGCGUGGGUUUAUUCCAAUACUCAUAACUUAUGAGCACUCAUGAAUGUUGUAGCAACCAUUGCUAUGACUAAACCCAUUUAGCCAUCUACAAACUCGAUUCAUGACAGUCUUGAUUCAUACCUACUUCCAACAUAUGAACGACUGUGGAGUGUUUAAAUAACUUAGUCAUUCGGAAAGAAUAACCUAGCUAUUUUGGAAGUCAAAACAUGCAAAGUGAAACACAAUAAUAAUCGAAUCCAAUAUGGUCUCAGAACCCUUUUGAAUAUAAAUAGAACCACCUUUUAUUUAUCACCAUAUUGAUUACACAUUAUUCAUUGUAUAAUGUUUCAAACAAUCAACUUAAGACUUGAAUAAAAACAACAGUCGUCCCAUGCUCCUAGCAUGUACACUUUGUUUUUCUAAACAAUAGUUAUGCCAUACUCCAAGUAUGCACACUAUGUUUGUCUAUGAUCCUUACAUUGUGAUGUAGAUCAAUUGAACAUGAUUCCAAUGAUACUCAUUUCACAAUCCCAAAUCCUUAUUGUAAAUGUGAGAAUCCCCGAUUCCUAUCAUUUACCAAAAAAACUGUUAGAUUUUAAACUUUUAUGCAAUGUUCCUCUUGUAAUGAUUAUGCACAAAGUCACCAAAACCUUGUCACCAGUCAUUACAGAGUAUUCCAAAGAAGGUCAACUUCUAUGGAACGGAAGUCUCAUAUUCAAAGUACAUUGCUUUGAACAUCCUUCUUGCAUUAAGGUUUUCUAAUCUUACAUAGAUUGAAUAACUUCCACCUAUGGAGACAUUUCCAUAGUCCCAUUUUGACUAUCACUUCCGAACAAGAGUUACUUCUUUUCAGAAUAUGUCAAUAUGGUCCUUUCCGACAACUUACAUCAUACGUCCAACUGUCCCUGAGCAAACAAUCUUUGGCGAACCUCAGAUUGUCCUCGACAAUUGCUUAAUCACUUUAGUCAUAUCCAGUUCUAGACUUUUCCCUUCUCAAUGCCUUAAGCAUUUGGAAAAUUUAGAAAAGAUGAAUAUUAUAGCACAUGCAAUCGAUCCUAUAUCCGAAGCAUAUGGGACACGAUUCAUGAUGUUUGACAUAAAGACAUGAUACUAGACAAGUCUUUUGCUACAAUAUUUUUUAUUUGCCAUGUUUUCAAAAUUUAACUAUGAAGAGGGAUGCCGUAAUCAUAAUCGAAUUUUGAAAACGCAAUAUAUAUAGAAUUUCUUCAAGUUGAACCAUUCCAACAUAAAAUUCAUAUAUAUAUUCUUGACUAAAGAUGAUUAAAAUCUCAAUCUAAGCUUUAGAAUUGAAAUGAAGUAUAAUUUCCUCUCCCUUAAUUAUAGCAAAACAACUUUUCAACCCCUGCAACUUCACGAAUUGAAACUUUGUUUUCUAUAAUUAACAUUGCUAACUUGCAACACUAAACGUAAUAAUCAUGCUCCCACUAACAUGAUGAUUAUCAGCAUAACACUUAUGCUCCCACUAGCUCUGACAUAUUUCCAGAAAUCUGCUGGACUUCUGAAAUUUAGAUUCAUACACCCUUUCUUAGAUAGCUCACAUGUGUGUCUAAACAAUUUUCAGAACUAUGAAAAGGGAUACCGUAAUCAUAGUCUCAAUUGCUUAGGCAUUUGCCAUUUCUCACAAGUCCAUGUUAGUGUGCCGGUUAACCACACGCGCUCCACUAACGACUUUUGAAAAUGCAAAUAACACAAUUGAUAUCUACGUAAAAUCUACUUAGUGAAAGCGUUUCCUCACCAUCAUUUUCAUGAAUCGGAGAGAAACCUUAUGACACUUAGAUUUUAUAGUGUAUGAGUUCCUAUCCAUGUGAAUUUGUCAAAACCAUAAUCACAAGAUAAGGUUAGUGACAAAUUCAGCCUUACAUGGAUUAAACUUGUUCAAUCUUAGUUUCUUGUCACCUUGGUAGCACAAGGCCCACCAAUGCUUCCAAGUUGAACUCUGAUAACUCACAUGCAAAUUCAACUUAUUUGAAGUAGGUACAGAAAUAAGAAUUAUGUCAACACGAUAGGUUGCAAACCUUAAGUCGUGUGCUAGUGAUAAAUUACAGGUUUUACUCUUGAUUAAAUCUUGAAACUCUUUCAGGAUCUUUAAGGCUCCCACUGUCCCCUUGACAUAUAAGUUUCCCCAGUCAAGAACCAUUCCUUGACAAAACAAAUAUUCAAGGGAUAGUGCGGAUUCUUAUCAAGACUAACACUUCACACAAUUGGUCUUAGUUGGUCUUUGUCUCAUCCAAGACAUCACAACUUACCAAUCUCAAAUGUACAAGAGUAGAAAACAUUUUACUCUUACAUUUGACUAGUGUUAAUAAAUCUUCCUUUAUGUCACUCAAAGUUACAAUCUUGGAGUAUGACUCUAAGAAUUGUUUUGGAACGAAGUAUGACUCAUCUUCUUGAUUUUAACCAAUCCAACAAUUCAUGACCUCUCUUCUUAGCCAUAACAAUGCACUAAGACGUCCUUAGAGUAUGAAUUUGUGAUAUGGUUUCAUAAUCAUUAAGAUGAUCAUGAAAUACGAUACUAAAGUACUCUCCCAUCCUUUCAGAUUUGAGAAACUUUUAUCUUUCUGCCUAAUUUGAUUCUUCUCAUUUGUUUUGUCAUACAUUGUAACCUUUCCAAUGUUACAGAAUUAUACUUAACCUCAUAAGUAUAAUCAUAUUUACUAAUCUUUAGUAAAUCAUGACAAAUCAAUCUUUGUGGUGGACCUUGACCAGCGCACACCCAGUGUACCUAAUUCCUUAGUCCUUCAAUUGACUCACAUAUACAUGUGAUCAAAGAAUUAGUCUUAAUUUUCAAAGAUGAAAAUUCUCAUUCAUCAUACAAUACAACUUGUAUGAUUCCAAGUUUCUGUCCAAUUGAAACUUGGGUGAUGAAAAACUUUCUUCAUUUGGUAAAUUCAGACACUACCACAAAUGAAAGAAUCAAAUCCACUUUCCAAUAUUGCUAUUACUGGAAACAUAUAAGCAACAAUUUUCCACAGAUGCCAUUGUAAGGAUAUUUUUAAAAUAAAUAAAAUUAAAACCCUUUUUUUUUUUUUUUUUAAAACUUUGCGGAAAAACUUAUCCUUACAAUCCACAUGAAAACCUUGUUGUUAUCUAUUCAUAAGCAAUAUAUUAUAACUCUUAAGCAACAGCUCAAAAUUCUGAUUACCGAACCAUGCGAUCGAAACCCACCUUCGCAAUCAGAAUCAACAUAUACUUACUUUAAGCUUCCUAUCUUUUCUUUGAUUCUUAAAAACAUCAGCAUGUGACCCAUUCACAUUAUGUAAUAAGAAUCUCCAAAUAGGAACUUAAUAGAGUUAGACAGUGGACUUUACCCGAAGUAGAGUCAAACCUCUUGACUUGAUCAACCUUAUGACCUUUCAGGUGAAUAGGGCAGCUUCGCAACCAAUGCCCCUUCCUUUGGCAACAAAACACAUGGACCCUUUGGUAAUGGCACAUGAGACUAUCUCAGACUUAGCCUUUCUCUUUACCAUUUGGUCAACCGAGUUGACUAUGGCCGAUCCCUUUCCAUUGGGAAGAGAAAUCCUUUUCUAGAUAUCCAAUGCUACCAUUGUCAAUGUCCAUUUAAGACUUGGGAAGUUGUUCUUUUAAUCAAAUUUGCUUUACUGGUGUUCCAAAUCAUUGCUGAUUCCACAACACCAAGCAAAUAGAUAACAUCAUUAAGGGUCAUGUCAUAGUCUGUCUCAUAGUAGUCCCAAAGAGACUCACUAUGUUACUAAGAAAGUGAUUGAACAUCCAACUUUCACGAGACUUUGACACCCAACUCUCCCGGCUUGUCAAUAUGUGACUUUAUCUCCAAGAUGUGAGCACACAUAGACUAUGCUUGCCAAUAGGGAUUGAGUGACUUUAAACUUUUCAAGAACUUGUGGGUGAGGGAGAAUAAUUGGAGGAGGUGGAGGAAGUGAAGCAUGAUGUUGAGGGACACCAUCUUCAAGAGAUUUGGGAAGAUCAUAGUUGUCUGAACCAGACAUCUAUAAUGGGAGAAAAUCAAGUUAGUUGAUUCAAAGUCCUUAAUAUAACACCCAAUAUGAAAUAUUAAGGCUAGGACCCAACACAAUAUUUUAUAAUUUGGAAGAGGGAUGCCGUAAUCCAAGCUAUAAAAUAUUUGAAGGUAGGCGAAUGACGAUUCACCAAUUUCCACCAUGAAAAACGAAAUAAUUUAUUAGGUUUUAAUUGGAUUUGAAAUUCCUAGAUCUUUUGAGAUUCAUUGAACUUUUCAAUGGCAUGUUUCAAUCUCGAGUGUGCCCUCUCAAAUUUUGUGACUGGGAUGCCGAGGAUCACAAAACAAGGUGUGAAUAACCAUACCAAUUCACUUGGUACCCUUAAUAUUAUCACCUAAUCAAUGUGCCGGUUAACCACACACGCUCCAUUGAUCUAUGACAAACAUUAAGUCACCCUUCGUGAUCCUUACUAGUCCAAGUUAGUGUGCCGGUUAACCACACACGCUCCACCAACGACUUGGUAAGGUACAAAGUGUGAAUUCCAUGGGCUAGCACCAAAUUCACAUUUUUCCUAAAGUAACUAAGAUUGGGAAUUAAAUAAAAAAUUUUUAGUUACUUUAUAAUAAUCAUUAUACUUUUAAUGAGAAUUUAAAGUCAUUGUCCUACCCGUUCGGCUAACGACCCUCCACCGAUCAAGCAAGCGGUGGGUGAGAGUGGACACCCAUUAAGUCGCCAUUUUAUAGGCAACAACCUUAUACCCACCUUAUAGACCGGCUUCGUGAAUGAGGCCUACUAACGGUAAAACGACUUGUUCUUAUACAUAUAUAUAAUAAUUAACCAUUAAUGUUAUAAAUAGUAUAAGUGUUGAAUUUUAACUUUUAAAACUCUAAGUGUUGGAAUUAAAGUUUAUUAAAGUGUGUGAAACUUUUCAAAUUCCAAAACUUGAGGGCAAGUUUUGUAACUAUCCAAAACUUUUCAUUUCAUAACUUAUGAAUUAAAGGUUCAUAAAAAUGAAGACUCUUCAUUUUCAUGUAACUUAUGUGUUUAAAUGUGUGUGUUAAAGAAAAGUGACCUUUGGAUAUCCAUAACUUGAGGACAAAUUAUGGACUCCAUUAAAACACAUAAAUGAUCAAGAAUUAAUUCUAAACAAUUCAGCAAAUAAUUCCUAUCAUCUUCUAAAUUCAUAAGAACAUGAACAUGAUCAUCAAAAUUUCAAGAAUUAUAUGAACACAUAAAAAUCAUGGAAUUUUGAUAUAUGCUAUUGUAAAUGGAUUAGAACAACCAUUACACCAACUAAAACAAGUUUUAAAACACCAAAACAGUUUAGGGUAAUGUUUCUAGUCCAUUUCCAGCAGCAAAAGUCGAAAUUCUGCAUUCUGAUCAUUCUACUCGCCGAGUGCACGAACCUACUCGCCGAGUAGGAUGAAUUUUGCCUUGAACUCGGCGAGUCCCCCCAUGGACUCGGCGAGUCCAUCAGCCAGACAGCAACAAUUUCAACUUUUUUCACUAUUUUGCAUCAAGUAUCAAACAAGCAAGCCUAGGCUCUGAUACCACUGUUGGGUUUUGAGCAAUCUAACACUUCCUAAGUGUGCAUGCAACCCUAAUAAACCUUGGAUCUAUGUUUGUCUAAAUACAUGCAAAAUAAUAAUUUUCCAAGGUUCAUAACCUAUCUAACAUGGCAUAGGGUACUUUUAAACAUAAAAGAAUUAGAUGUGAUUACAUACCUUUUGAUGAUGAGUUUGAUUCCUAAGGAGUUUGAGGGCCAAGCACCAAUAGUGUGAAUGCCUCAAAUGGAAUCACAAAUCACCACAAACUCUUGGAAAACUUUGAGAGAGUGUAUACACACUAUA